GUAUAACUAGGCGGAGGAAAAGAAACUAACCAGGAUUCCCUCAGUAACGGCGAGUGAAGCGGGAAAAGCUCAGACUGAAAAGCUUCGGCGUUGUAGUCUGGAGAAGUCAAAUCAGCUUAUAAUUUCGAGUAAAGUCUCCUGGAACGGAGCGCCGUGGAGGGUGAUAGCCCCGUUCAUGCUUGAAAUGAAAAGUGUACGAUUGGCUUUCUAAGAGUCGAGUUGUUUGGGAUUGCAGCUCUAAGUGGGUGGUAAAUUCCAUCUAAAGCUAAAUAUAAAAUGGGAGACCGAUAGCGCACAAGUA
rnacentral:rRNA from 1 species